rnacentral:rRNA from 1 species
UACGGAGGGUGCGAGCGUUAAUCGGAAUUACUGGGCGUAAAGCGCGCGUAGGCGGUGAUUUAAGUCAGAUGUGAAAGCCCCGGGCUCAACCUGGGAACUGCAUUUGAUACUGGGUCACUAGAGUACGAGAGAGGGGGGUAGAAUUCCACGUGUAGCGGUGAAAUGCGUAGAUAUUAGAAGGAAUACCAGUGGCGAAGGCGGCCCCCUGGCUCGAUACUGACGCUCAUGUACGAAAGCGUGGGUAGCAAACAGG